AUUCGCCGAUCCGAUCAAUGACGUCAUUGAUCGGCUCCGCAAAAGACACUUACUCCGCGUCGCCAUCGUACACAGUAUAUUUCAUCGUGUCAACGCAAACGCGACCAGAUACACUCGUUACCAUGGCGGCGACAACAAUAAUGGAUCACGCCGUGUGUUUGUAAGAACAAAAUGGGGAAAAGGCUUGCUUGAGCGCAAGUCCCAGCUGGCGACACUUAACGCGGGCGAACGGAGCUAUUAUGGCAUUUUAGUGUUUUGAAGGCUCCGACUGUGACUUUUGCAGAGGAAGCGGCGGUGAAUUGACGUGGAAAGCCUACCCCCAGGCGGGAAUUGCACGCCUCAGGGAAGCUGCAAGAAAACCUUCGCUCUUAAUGGAACUGAGAAAGGUCUGGGUGUAAAUUGAGCGGCGACUUUAUUAAAAAUAUAUAUAUGUG